GCUCCUGGGAAAUAACCACUAAAGUCUUGAAAUGUCUUGAGUGAUUGGAGGACCUUUAUUUUUCACACCUGAUGCCUUAUGCUGAUGAGAGGACUCAGCAGGGGAUGGCCAGGCCAGAAAGACCGGAACUAUAUCCUGAGGUUUGAGUUUCUGAGCUAGGUGAUGUCAUCCUCCAGCUUGGCCGGCCUCUGCCUGGGAGCCUCUGGUGUGAAAGAGAGCAGAUUUAUUAAAAAUCAUCAACUUCAAAUUAUUUGGAUGGAAACAUUGCCAAAUCAUAGAGAAGUUUGCUACCACCCGCACACCAAGCAGCUGGGUAACUAGAAGUGCAGGAUCAGCUUAUUCACCUCUGAAAGCCUGCAUGCAACCACUGAGGUCGCCUCUAUUUUUUACAUAGUUCUACUUGGUGUAUGUAACCCCACAGAGAAACCUGGAAGAAUGCAUGAAACCUGGUAAGGCAACCAGCACAUGCAACAGAAUGAACCGUUUCUUUCCAUCUGAAUGCCUAAACGUGGACUCUGAUCCUUUCUACCAAGUCCUAAGUUUGGGAAAAGAGGACAAGGACGGGGGCUCUGUCCCAUAUCAUAAUGUGCUUGUGAAUGGCUAAAAUUACAAUGCUGAAAUAAGUGUGUGUAAUAAAAUAAUUGCACCAAAUUGAAGAAUGUUUCACUGUUUAUUUU
rnacentral:lncRNA from 1 species